CAAUAGCGUAUAUUAAAGUUGUUGCAGUUAAAAAGCUCGUAGUUGGAUUUCUGGUGGGAGCGAUCGGUCUGGCGCUUAGCGCGAGUACUUGCAUCGUCUCCGGCCAUCCUUGGGGAAAGUCUGUCUGGCAUUAAGUUGUCGGGCAGAGGAUCCUCAUCGUUUACUGUGAAAAAAUUAGAGUGUUCAAAGCAGGCUCAUGCCGUUGAAUAUAUUAGCAUGGAAUAAUAAGAUAGGACUUUGGUACUAUUUUGUUGGUUUGCGCACCAAAGUAAUGAUUAAUAGGGACAGUUGGGGGUAUUCGUAUUCCGUUGUCAGAGGUGAAAUUCUUGGAUUUACGGAAGACGAACUACUGCGAAAGCAUUUACCAAGGAUGUUUUCAUUAA
rnacentral:rRNA from 1 species